rnacentral:rRNA from 1 species
GAUGAACGCUGGCGGCGUGCUUAACACAUGCAAGUCGAGCGAAGCGCUUUGAAUUUUUCGGAAUGAGAAGUGACUGAGCGGGCGACGGGUGAAGGUAACGCGUGGGUAACCUGCCUCAUACAGGGGGAUAACAGUUAGAAAUGACUGCUAAUACCGCAUAAGCGCACGUCAUCGCAUGAUGGUGUGUAGAAAAACUCCGGUGGUAUGAGAUGGACCCGCGUCCGAUUAGCUGGUUGGUGAGGUAACGGCCCACCAAGGCAACGAUCGGUAGCCGGACUGAGAGGUUGAACGGCCACAUUGGGACUGAGACACGGCCCAG